rnacentral:misc_RNA from 1 species
GGAGUAAAAGUCGUAACAAGGUCUCCGUUGGUGAACCAGCGGAGGGAUCAUUACCGAGUUUACAACUCCCAAACCCAAUGUGAACCAUACCAAACUGUUGCCUCGGCGGGGUCACGCCCCGGGUGCGUCGCAGCCCCGGAACCAGGCGCCCGCCGGAGGGACCAACCAAACUCUUUCUGUAGUCCCCUCGCGGACGUUAUUUUUACAGCUCUGAGCAAAAAUUCAAAAUGAAUCAAAACUUUCAACAACGGAUCUCUUGGUUCUG